rnacentral:tRNA from 1 species
UGGAGGAAUACCCAAGUCCGGCUGAAGGGAUCGGUCUUGAAAACCGACAGGAGCUUAACGGCUCGCGGGGGUUCGAAUCCCUCUUCCUCCGUAUU